AGUGAACGCUGGCGGUAUGCCUAACACAUGCAAGUCGAACGGCCGCACAGUAAGCGCUCGCUCUUACUGUUGGCGACUGGCGGACGGGUGAGGCAUACAUCGGCAUCUUCUUUUUCUUGGGGGAUAUCGUAGGGCCACUUACGCUAAUACCUCAUACUUUCUACGGCUGAAAGCAGGGGUUCUUCGCACCUUUCGCGACUCUUUUAGCCGAUGUCGGAUUAGCUAGUUGGCUUGGUAAAGGCCCACCAAGGCGACGAUCCGUAGCUGGUCUGAGAGGAUGAUCAGCCACACUGGAACUGAGACACGGUCCAGACUCCUACGGGAGGCAGCAGUGGGGAAUAUUGGGCAAUGGGCGAAAGCCUGAUCCAGCAAUGCCGCGUGAGUGAAGAAGGCCUUCGGGUUGUAAAGCCCUGUUGUUGGGGAAGAAAAGAAGCAGGAUAAAACGCCGAUGUUCUGACGGUACCCAAAGAAAAAGCAACGGCUAACUUCGUG
rnacentral:rRNA from 1 species